UAAUUUUUUAUUUUCUUUUUAUUUUCUUUUUUCUUUUUCUUCCCAGGCCAUUUGUUAACUGUUCUCUUUCUUUGGAAUAAGUAUUAUUGCUUUUAAGAAAAUGUACUAUUUCAUUUAACGAUCUGUUGAUAUGUGCUUCAGUGUUUAUUUCAUAACAGUAGACGUAAUGUUAAAGUGGUAGAGCACCUUGAACUGAAGCUUUUUCAGGAUAUUCUGCUAAAACCUCAUUAUUACUGAGGAAAUUUUGUUGUUUUGUUAUUUGUUCUUUUUCUUCCUAACUACUAAGCACCAUUCCAAUGAAACAAUAGAGAAGAAUACUUUGCUGUAUUUAUUUAUUUAUUACUCAACUACAGCAAUGUUACCUGCUAUUACUGCAAUAGUCUUUUGGUUUUGCUUCAUUGUUUUUUGAUUUUUGUUUUUUUUUAAUUUGGCUUUCCUGGCAUUUUUUGUGUAGUUAGUGUGUUUACCAUAUUGGGAAAGGGGACAUUUCUCUACCAUCUCAGUCAUUCUCCCAUUAUAUCUGGAUUUUAAAUCUGUACUGAAACAGGUUGAGGAAUGGCUCUUUCAGUCGCUAUAGUAAAAAUGCAGUAGUGUGUCUUUCCUUUUCUUUCCUCUUGCUCACUAAAAUAUCAUAUUGCUAUGUUCACAAGAGGCCUACCAUAAGGGCCAGAGGGGCAAGGUUGUUUAGUUUUGUCGAAUGUAUCAAGUUUUUCUCAAAUAAUGUUAUGGCUGGAAAAGCAAAGUGGAAGGGUCAAGAGUUGAAUUUGUACUUUAUCAUUGAAAUCAGUGGUAGAACACAAUAGUAGCUUGAACUUAUUUUCCUGCUUUACUGACUUUCUGGAAAAUGUAUAGAAUUCAGUAAAAAACUGUGUACUCAACAUCCAUCAAACUCUGAUGGCUUCUUGGUCUUAGCCAUUCACUAUGUUAUAUGUUUCCUUCAACUUGUACUCAUUCUUGUUUAUUAACUUUUAUUCAUUGCACAAAAUAGGGAAAGGGGGAGCACUCGUAUGAUGCAAUGUCAUGCUUGCAUUGAUAAAUCUUUUUAUUUGUUUCCUUAAGAAAAAAAGAAAAAAAAAAAAAAAAAAAAAGAGAGAGAGAAAAGGACUAGCGUAAAUUUAACAAGUAUGUCCCUGAAUAUGUUUUUUUAAUAUAAGUCUGGGCUUGAUAACUUUCUUCUUUUGGGAUGAAUUUAAAACAUGUUUAAAAUCUGUCUCUCUGCUCAGGGAUUUAUGGUGGAUUAUUGCAGACAGUGCUAAAAAAUAAAAGAGCACAAAACAAGUUUACUAAAUUAAAAUUUUAUUUUUUGAAAAACUGUUAUUUGUAUAAAUUAUCAGAUUUGUAGGCUUUCCUUUUUGUAGAAAUAAUUGUUUACGUGCCAGAUAAGAGAAUUUCAAUUUUGUUUUCAAUAAUAAAGCAUUGAUAACUAACACAGUGUGCAUUCCUUUAUCUGUUACUGUAACAACUCUAUUUUUUCAAUUAUUAUUCUUAUGUAGUGAGUUACAUUGGCUGUUCGAGGUAUAAGAAAACCAUGUAGCUUAAGAUGUUUUGUAGCUGGCUUUUUCUGUAUUCUUUUUACCUCUAUUACUCAUUUGAUAUUUUCAGAAAGGUUCUCUGGAAGCAUUUUGAUAUCCCUAAUCACUAAUCACUAAUUCUUGCCAAAAGUGUUAUGGCAACUAUUACAUUUAAACUUUUUUUAAACUUCAUGGGAAUAAGAGCUUACAAAUAAGUUAUGCUUAUAAUUUAUUUUUAUAUUAAUAUACAAAUGUGACUUCACAUAAAUUGUUUCUAAAAUUUGUAGUUGUCUACAUAAGCUGAAAAGAAGUCUCGGCUUUACAUGCACUGACUUUUUAGUGUUUGAGAUCACCUUUCUCUGAUGCUAUGUUGUUACAUGAUUGAUUUUAAAAUCCACCUUAUUCCUACACAGGAGGUGUCAUGAAGAUAAAUGCUUCUUUGAUCCUCUGUGGAUUUUUUCCUUCAUCUUUCAUGGACAGACCCAUUUUAGUUCAGUGGACCCAACAGCAGUUUUCUGCUACCUACCUAGUCCUGUUGCAUUCAGGUACUGUGCAUUGAUGGAUUUGCUCUACAGUUGAAAAACAUCAAUGUACACAAGUACAGCACAAGAGAGGGUUUGGGUCACUGACUUCCAUACUUAAUUAUCAUUCCUGAUUUUUAUCAAAGGUCAAACUUUGCUUUCAGUCAUGAUCAUUCCUUACUUUUUAAUGAAAUGGUUUUAAUGAAAUGACGGAUGACAUAUACAAAGUUUCUUGCAUGCAAAGAAUAUGAUCUGCAUCACUGCUUUCUCAUGGAAACAGUCUAAAACUGCUUGAGCUCCAUUUUGCAAUCUUUUCCCUUAAUCUUUCUCUGUGAGAUCGUGUUCUGUCUGCCUUGUGUUUUGCUUCCAAUGUUCCUAUUCUUCGAAACAUUGCACCUCUCAGGUAGUAGAUACAUAAUAGCAUCUCCAUUUCUGAUGGAGGGACACAUCAGUUCCACACAGAAGUAAUUAAGCAGGAAGAAUGAGGUGGCUUUUUAAACCUGAUGUGUUGUACAGGCCCAUCUGGACUUGAUCUCUGUAGCUGGCACAGAUGGCUGUAUUACUUCUGGGGUUUGAGCUAGAAUAACAGUAAGUUGGUAAAUUAUUCCAUGUAAAUGCAUGUAAAUGGCUUGGGACUCUCUAGCGUGGCUGUGUGGUGUAAGCUUUCCCACAACAGCUUUGACCACCAGAGGUGAAUGGAGGUGACAUGGGAAAAUCAGACUCCAGUUCAGGUGUGAGAAUGGUAUUAAUGGCUGAAUUAAUUACUGUUAUUUUGUAGCAUCUCUGAAGGUUGCAAGGCAGUGAGGUAAUCUGAAGCGAUUUAGAAAGAAAAUGUGGAAAAUGUGAAGAGAAUCCCAUAUAAUCAUUUAUCUUUCUUAAACUUGCAUUUGUUGUUCUUUGAAAGUAAAAUUGAGACCGCCCAUUCAGAUGUUAUUCUUGUGGAUGGUGAGUUCUUAAUCUCUGUCUCUCUGAGGUUCACCAGUACAACACUAGAAGAAUGAGUUUUAAGGCACAGAAUGUAUCCCUUUUUAUGUAGGUAGUAGGAAGGGAAUUGUCAGGGAGGUAAUACAGACAUUUCUGUGGAAGUUAGUAGGAAUUUUGGAGGACAGACAGACAAUUACAACAACAAACAAGGAACUCCAAGAUCAAGAUAUACCAAGAUAAACUAAAAAGGGGGAGAAAAAAAGCAAUACAGACUAGAGGACAUACCAAUGUAUUCUACUUGAAAGAGUGAAUACAUACCACAAGUUAUUUCACUUGAUUAGAAAACCUUUAAGUAUGCAUAUGUAUUCAAAAAUGAAGUUGUUGUUUCUCUCUUCACCUUCUGUUCUUUCUUUUCUCAUUGUAUUUCCUCUGUCCUGGAGUGCUGGUUCUUUGAUACUAUUGCUGCUGUAGGUGGAUUCAGACAGCUUUGAAGAUUACAAAUGAGGAAACAUUUCAGAAGGCAGAAACAUCAGAGUGGACCUUUCAGAAAGUCAUAUGGAUGAUAUAGAGACCAGAAGAGGAGCUGCUUUCCCUGAAGCUAAAGACAGAGAGAAGUUUUGGUUGUGAACUGAGCUUUUACAUCAGUUUAGUGCCUCAUAGUAAAAGAUGUUAAAAAGAUUUAAAACUUGUUUUAUUUUUUAGGAAGUACUGUAAACUAUGGAGCAUUUAUGUCUAGACCAGGCAUGUUGCACCCACAGGCAGCAUGUGGCUCUGGGUGGCUUGAAAUGAAGCUCCACGAGAUAGUAAACUUUUCACACUAUUAUGUGAUUUUCAGUGAUAUUUUUCAUCAGUUGAUGUGCACAGUUUGAGUGCGGACUGCAUAGGUGACGAUGGAACUCUGUGGAGGAGUGCAGUGUUAACUCCACUUCUCCUGCUCACCACACACUCUCUUCACAUCAUGCACAUAUGUAUGCAUAUAUGUUCCACUUCCACUGUCAGCUGUUCUAAUCAUCUUCCCUGCCAUAUUUACCCAACUGUUCUGAACAGGCCAUUUACUCUAAGGUUUGUUCUGAUUGCUGUGAAAACAUUGCUCCAUUUAGCAUGGGAAGAAGAAAAAGAGGUCAAGCCAUGUGAAAUCAGACAUGUGCUACUCAACUCUCGGUAGUGAUACAUCAAUGUCAAUUAGAGGUAGCCUUAUAAAAGUGGCUUUUCUUUAACUUGAUGAAGUUGGUAAUUUUGAAAAAGAAGGAAUUGUGUCCUCUGCAAAUAGAAUAGUCAGUGUUCAGUUUUAAAGACUGAUUAGCCAAGGGUUUUUAUACUGUCCAGUGUAAUAAUAGUUUAAUAUUAAUAUUCUAUAUUUUUGAUGUUUAGUUAACUUGUUUCUUUCAUAAUAAUUUCAGUCACUGUACAUUUUUAAUCAAUUUUAUAAAUUUAGCUACAUUUGCAAUAUUUUUCAAAUUUAUUUGAGUGAUAACUAAUAAGAGAUGUCAUCAAACAGGUAAUUCUUCUUAUAUAUUUAUUUUAUUCCAAGGAAAGUUUUGGAAUAAGGACAAGGAAGGAGAAGGCUUUUUUUAUAUUGUUUUUUUAACACCGCUCAUGGGAAAAAGUUUUACCAAUUCAACAGGGAAAAGAAUGCUGGACAGAAAAUGUGGGAAGCUGCUCUGUAACCAUUUAAUUUAUUUCUCUAUUGCAAAAAUCUCGAGUGACAUUUCUGCUCUCAGAAUGGGACAGUAUACCGUGUUUUGGCAAAUCUCAAAAGUUCGCAUCCGUCUGGGCAGUUUCUUAUUCAGCAUCUCCAGAAGUGACAAGAUGAAAACGUCAUCUCCCAAACUUCCCUAACCUUAAUCUUCCCAUAACCUCACUUCUGCCACUGGCUAUUGUCCUUCCUUGCCCUGCUGUAUUCAUUGCUGACAGCACUGUUCCAAGAGCAGUGAUUUGUUUCUUCGACUUGGCUGUGAAGUACUCUUUUCUUUAAUGAAAAUGUGUAAAUAGAAGUAAUUAGUUUUUCUGCCUCAUUCAGGGAAGUAUUAGUAAGAAUAAACAGGAUAUACCAAUCUAACUUUUCAAUAUCUUACAGGAUUAAAAGAUUUUUAGCACAGAACUCCCUUUUUGCCUUUUAAAUGACAAGAAAAGGCAGCGAUACUUAAAAUGUAGAAUUGCCUCAUGCCUUUCAGAUUAGAGAAAGUCAGAAAGCUGUAGAAAUGGUAGAUGGACACACACUGAACAAGCAGCACUACUUGGUGUUGGAUUUCUACUUUUAAUUCAAGGUUGGGAUGAUAUAACUAUUCUCUGUACCUCGUAAGGGGAGUUGUACAGGUUCCAGCUGUCUGUUAAAUUAAGCAUAAGUGAUUAUUAUGAACAUGUAGAGCAGACAAGAGGGAUGAUAACUGUGCAUAUAAAAGCCGUAUGAGCCUACUUGAUUUGCAAAGUUGGAUACUCAAUUAGAAGAACUGAAGGAUUUUUUUUUUUUUUAAUUUUUUUUUGUAGUGCAGUCUCCCUCACUGCGAAGUUCAAUGUCCGGAAUAAUUGGCUCCAAUUCUUCCAUAUCAGAUAUAGUAAAUUCUGUGUUUUAAAUAGUGAAAUGCUGGAAAAGAUCCAGAUAGCUAUGUAUUUUAUUUAAAUGCUUUAAUAUGUUGAUACUUUUCUGGCAAUCACUUCCUCUGCUGGCUGCUUCUGUCUUGGUGGUACUUUGAAAAUCAAGAGACAAUAAAUCAGACUCUCUUAAAGAGAGAAGUUUUGUUUACUAUCGAAAACCAAACAGAACAAGACAUAGCACUGUAUGUGACAAACCUGGAAAGUAUACAUAAUUGUACUAUUUCAAACAGGAAGCUUCUGCAGGGCCUUUCUGCUUGUGAGCCUGUUAUAAAUAAGCAAAUCUUGUCAUUACAGUUUCUGUAGCUUUUCAGACAAUGCACCCCUCUUUCUGUUUAUCUAUCUAGUUUUAGGGAAGAAGUGCUGUCCCACUUGAAGGUGAAAAGUUUUGUCACUGAGCUGAGUGAAUACAAUUGCACUGUUGCUAGCUCUUUGGGAUAAGGACUUCUUUAUACAUUGUUUUCUUGAAUUGUUACUCUGAUUUCUUAGCAAAGUAUCAGGUGUUCUCAGAAUUGCUAUGCUCAGAAACCCCUAGAGGAAUUAGUUUUUCCGUUAGAGACUAUUGCCUCGUUCAGGCAAUGUGAAGUUGUGUUAUUACCAGCAUGAAGACAGGGAAGCUGCUUCGGAGCAUCAGUGCUGGAGCAGAGCGAUUGAUGGUUGCUAACACAGCGAGCUGUUGUUUUACAGUGCAAGGUCACAUUGCCAUAACAAGGAUAACAGGGACCAUUUGCAAAAGGAUAUUCUUGUGUAUAUGUGUGUUUUUAGGAAAAUACAUUCUCUCCAAGUGCCCAGAGGACUGUUUGUUGUUAUUAUGGCAGCACCCAGAUGAGAGCUAAACAGUCUUUCAGUUUAUCAAAUGCACAGUGAUAUUUAUUGCGUACUGAAUGAAUGUUAAAGCCUGAAGAGGAGGUGAUGUUUCUGUCUCUCCCGUGUAUAACCUCUCCUUCCAAUCUACAAAUAAAUAAAUAAAUAAAUAAAUAAAUAAAAAUAAAAGCAUUAUUUCUGGCAAUUUUCACUGUGACCUCUCUUACAACUGACUUCAACUACAUUUCACAGUCCAGUGAGCAAUGCUGUUAGAAAAUUGAUUUAAAACUGUAAUUAAUGUAGGAGGAAUAUAAACGUGAUUGAUGGGACAAAGCCAAGUAAUCAGGGUGGGUGAGAAGGGAGGGAAAGAAUCUCGACCUACAAUUUUUUGUGCUUUAGCAAUGUACAAAUAAAAUAUCAGAAACUAUUUUCUGAAAAUAUAACUUCUGAGUGUUAUGACUUUUAAAUGCACAAACACACACAAAAUGGAGAAUAAAAAUAUGACCUGCAUCCCAGAUAAAACCCAAGCUACUUGAAAUUGUAUGGGUUUUUGACAGAUACUAGUUAAUGUACGUGAAAGAAUUAUGCUGUCUCUUGAGAAUGAGGGUAUAAUGGACAUUUAGCCUUCUUUGUUAUUCUUUUCUUUUUUUACAUCCACUUGUAACAGCUCGUCUGUUAGUAAUUAAUUUUCUCUGACACAUACUUUAUGAACAACUUUUUCCUCUGAAAUGCUCAUCCUUUUGUGGAUUGUGUGUUAACUCUUAAGCGGGGAAAAAAAAAUAAAUAAAAAAAAAUCUAAUUGA